UGAGGAAUAUUGGUCAAUGGGCGAGAGCCUGAACCAGCCAAGUCGCGUGAAGGAAGAAGGUUCUAUGGAUUGUAAACUUCUUUUGUAAGGGAAUAAAAAGUGGUACGUGUACCAUAUUGUAUGUACUUUACGAAUAAGGAUCGGCUAACUCCGUGCCAGCAGCCGCGGUAAUACGGAGGAUCCAAGCGUUCUCCGGAUUUAUUGGGUUUAAAGGGUGCGUAGGCGGACCCUUAAGUCAGUGGUGAAAGUUUGCAGCUCAACUGUAAAAUUGCCAUUGAAACUGAGGGUCUUGAGUGUAAAUGAGGUAGGCGGAAUGUGUUGUGUAGCGGUGAAAUGCUUAGAUAUAACACAGAACACCAAUUGCGAAGGCAGCUUACUGGGAUACAACUGACGCUGAGGCACGAAAGCGUGGGGAUCAAACA
rnacentral:rRNA from 1 species